UCGUGCCAGACAAAGUAACCUUCGGGGUGAAAUCCGUGCAGAGUGGAGAGAAGGAGUGCUUGACCUUCCUGCAAAGGUAAAUAUAUGCCCUGAUGCGUCCGGGCGGACGCUGCUUGCAUGGUGCGGAUUGCAGGUCAUUCCGUAUUUCAUGCCCGGUGACGCUAUGUGCCUACUGCAACCUGCCAACAGGCAUACGGGGCAAGCGAGGUUUCAUUUCAUAUG
ncrna:unclassified sequences RT-2 RNA